rnacentral:lncRNA from 1 species
ACAUAGUAAAAGCUAUCAAAGAAAAUAAAUGAAUUAGAAAUGAUUAAGAUGAUAGUGAAAAUAAAUAAAUGGAUAUAAACAUUACGAAUGUUUAAAUUGUGUUGCCAUAUAAAACAUAUAGUGAUAAUGAUAACAUUAAUCUAUUUAUUAGUACUUAUGCAGAUUUGAGAAUGAAAGGUUACGUAUUAUAUCAAACAACAAUUUCUAUAAAUGAAGACAAAAUAUACAUAAUAAUAUAGGUUUAAGGUGAUGGAUUUUAACGCCAAUAACUAGCAAUUUAUCAUGUUUGCCACAGUGUAGUGUGAUUCAUAUUGAUUCGUAAUGAUCAGUUAUCAUGAUAACAAUUUGACUUAAUUCAUACAAUACAAUACCACUAGAAUGACAAGAGGAGAAGAAGAAAUGUAGAAGAUAACCUGUUAUACCUUUCGGAUGAAGAAUUGCACUUAACUUUCGACAAGGCUAGAGUCGUGCUGAUAACAUGUUAAGAAUUGUAGCUCAAAAAUAUCAAUAUAGAACAAGAAAAAACAAGUUAAGAGAUAUAUAGAGAAAGAGAGAAGGAAAAGAUUUUCUUCUUUAAUUGUGUGUAUUUUCCUAUCUAUUACAAGGCCUUUAUAUAGGCAUAAAAAGUGAAGAAAAUAUGUCAUGGAAUAUGUCAUUGAACAUACAAAAUAUGUCAUUGAAUAUGUCAUUAAGCAUUUGAAAUGAAAAAUCAUGGAAGAAGAGUAGACAUCCACCAUAAUGUGAUAUUUAUCGUGACAUAGCCAAUUUUUUAGAACUUAAUCUUUCAAAUUACAAACAGAAGUCGGCAUGCACUUUGUCUAUCCUAGUGACAUUAAAGCAUCAUUUUCUUAAAAGUUAAAUAAAAGAACAUCUCUGUCUAACACAAGUGGCACAGGCACUACCAAGCUAGUUGACAAAAAAACAGCGUAAGGAGACGAAAAAGAGAGAAAAAUCCAUAUGAUUUGGUGAGAAACUAAUAAAUCUAAGUAUUUGAUAAGAUUUGCUUCAUUUUAGUAACGGACAAAAUAAUAAUACUAUAAUAAUAUUGUGUAUGUUUAAAAUCGGAGAUAAAGUUACUCCGAUUUCCUAAUGAAGAAACAAGGGAUAACGUGAUUCGGCACUGGCUCGGGUAAGACCGAGGGUGCCCACAGAUCAGAGCCCGAAGUAGACGAAUGAUACGUAACUGAGCAUGGCCAAACAUGGGAAAAAUCAAGCUCGAGCGAAACGAAGAAUCGAGGUUGAAGGGAAGACGGUUAAAAACAACAAACGAGGAGCCGAAAUAUCCCCCACCGCCAGAUAUUAUUGCGUAGAUCGUGCCCGAUAUUAACUGCGGAUCGCGUUUUCUUGGGAAAAAAAGGAAGGACUUGUACUAGGGUUGAAACUCUCCUACUAUAUAAAAGGGAGAAUCUCUUUUUAUUUUUUAACCAUUGUUGGCAUGCAUAUCAAAGUAAUAAAGUUUACUUUUAUCUUUUAGCAAUUGUUCAAGUGUUCUUUAGCUAUUAUGUCAUUCAACUGAAACCGAGCGUCCUCCCAAGGGCUCGAUUGAAACCAGUUCCUAGCAUUCGAACAUAACGGCAGGCUUAGUUAUUUCAUCAUAUUUGGUUUGAUGGUUUUGUUUUCUUUUAAUUCUAUUAUUUGUUGUUUCUUUGAUUAUUUGUGUUAAAUUAAAUUACGUAUCCCUUAAAUCACGUACAAAUUUAAUUGUUUCUCAUUUUAAGGGUAAAUAGUUUGGCUACCCACUGUGGGGCUAAGGAUAGUAGUAGUGAUUUAAUACGAAUCUUUGUAAUACACUCUAUUUUACGCUUGUUUUUUGAAGUUUGAUUUUAGGAUCAUUCAAUAUGUCAAAUUCCCAAUCUACUCACUUGAGUGUUAACAUCGAGCCCGACCAUCACGACAAAAAUAAUUACGUGGUGCCAAGCAACGGCGUGCCCUAUGUCGACCCUAAUGGUGUUCCGAUUGCUGACCCAGUCGAUGCCAAUUCACAGGUUGCUAUCAAUAUCAACAUACUGAUUAGUCCCGAUUACAACAUUCACGGAGCACCCCAACCAUCAGUUCAAGAGGCACCUGAAGGGGGAAGGUGAUGGAGUUACCUAACCUUGAGUUUUGCGAUGUUGCAAGCUCAACAAGUUGUAAUAGCCCAACUGCAGAGUCAAAAUCACGCAUACAACGCGGCUGAAUCUGAACAGGUUGGAGAAGAACAGAUGGUCACAAAAUCUGAUAGGUCCAGGCCCGGGGAAACUUCUGAGGUAAUGCAAAAGCUCGAAGCAUUGACAAAAUGGGUGGAGAAGAUAGGGGCAAAUGACAAGAAUAUGGAAACUUAUAAUUCGAGGGUUGAUCAGAUUCCAAGAGCACCUCCAAUAUUGAAGGAAUCGGAUUCCAAAAACUUCAUUCAGAAACCUUUUCCCCCAGUGUGGCACCAAAGUUGUAACGACCCGACUGGUCGUUUUUCUUUCUAGAUCCCCCUUCCCUUAAUUAAGACUCCAUGUAUGUGCCUUUACUAUUUUAUGACUUGCGGGGAUGAUUGACUUGGGUUUGGAAGGGUACAAGUUGAAAUCAGAAUAUUUGGUUUCUUAAUACUGGCCAAAGAUGGCUAAGCUUGACUUGAGUCAAUAUUUUUGGUAAAUGACAUUGGAACCGGAAUUUGAUGGUUCCAAUAGGUUCGUAUGAUGAUUUUUGACUUGGGCGUGUGUUUGGAUCGGGUUUUGGAUAAUCCAGGAGUGUUUCGGCACUUAAUGUUGAAAGUUGGCGCAUUGAAGAUUUUCAAAUUCUUUAAAUUUGGUGCGGAGUUACCUUUGGUAUUAUUGAGGCCAGUUUGGGAUUUCGAACCUGGGAAUAGUUUUGUAUGGUGAUUUAUGACUUGUACGCAAAAUUUGGUUUCAUUCCGAGUAGUCUAAGUAUGUUUCGGCGCGUUCGAAGUAAGUUGAAAAGCUUGAAGUGCAUAAUUUGAUUAAAUUUGGUUUUUGGGUGCUUCUUAGUUUUGAAAUUUUUUUAUGCGUUCCGAGGGUUCGAGCAGGUUCGAAUUGUAUUUAUCAACUUGUUGGUGCAAUUGGGUGGGAUCACCGGUGGCUCGGGUGAGUUUCUGACCACCCGAAGCUAAGUCUUAAAAUCUGUCACUAUUAAUUCUUGUUUCCUUCUUGGCGUUCGUGUGUGUCACAUUCGCGGAGAAGGAAUUUUGGGGACUGGGAAAUUUUUCUUCGCGUUCGCGAUACCCAGUCCGCGUUCGCGAAUGUCUGGGACAUGUGGCCUUCGUGUUCGCAAGAAAGGGCCCGCGUACGCGCAGGGGAAAAAGGGCCUGGGAGGGGGGAAACUUUACUCUUCUUGUUCGUGAAGGAGAACCCGCGUUCGCGAUGAAGGAUAUCACGGCCUGGGCCAGGUUUGCCUUCGCGAAUGCGAGGCUUCUUCCGCGAUCACGAAGAAGGGUCAGCUGGGUAGAGACUUGAUUAAAUCGGGGAUUGGGUUCAUUUUCUCUUAUUUCACUUUGGGUUAGUCAAUUUUGGAGCUCUUGGAGAGGGAUUUUUCACGUAUCAUCGUAAGGUAAGUAAUUAGUACCUAAUGUGAGUUUAAUACACAGAUUAUGGGAGAUUUCAACAUAUAAAUUGUUUAAAAUUUAGGAUUUAGCUAAAAACUCUAGGUUUUGAUAAAAAUGAGAUUAGACCACGAAAAUGAUUAUAGAAUUGAGAAGAAAUUAUAUAUUUGUAUUCGUGAGGCUAUGGGUAACUUUUAUUUACAAAAAUUUUCGAAAUUCGGGCACAUGGGCCCCGAGAGUGAAUUUUAGAAAUCUUCUAAAUUUGGGUCGGGUAAUUACUCUAAUAGUUAAAUUAUAAACUUUUGAGCAUAUACUGAUUAAUUUAUACAAUAUUUGGCUAAUUUCAGAUUGCGUGGCACCGAUUUGAUGCUUUAGUCUGAAUUGUGGACCGGAAAGAGAACUUGAAAACGGGUUAAUUUCUUGCCCAACCUUGUAAGAGAAAAUUAUUCCCCAUAGGUGCUAUAAGUGAUUGUUUGCUAAUAAUUAUGAGUGCUACGUGCGUACGAUGUGAUGAGAGUUCGUAUAUAGCUAAAAUCAUGCUUAUGUCUAGGUAGUUUUAGGACUCUACCAUGUAUUUCUUGUAUUAUUUGUGCCCAACUUGUUUGUUUAAUUCCUUAAAUUAUAUAUGAAGAUUGGAUAAAAGGAUUUGUAAAGAAUGAUUUUCACUACCUUGAGUUUUGACGGGUUACUUGACUGUUGGUGGAAAUUAUACUUUCCUUGAGUAUUAUUCUUAUGUAGUAGCCGUUAAUCGGAGUUCAUAGAGUAUUCUCUCUUCCAGUGGAUCAGGACGAACGCCUCGGCAGUAUAAUAUAUGCAUCUAUGGUUCGUGCCAGUCAACCCUCGACAGUGUACACAUUAUUCUGCAUCAGGCCGUACGACCUCAUCAUAAAUAUUGUGUGAUAUUGCUCGAAGUCCGAUUAUAUUUGAUAUUUCUUCCAUGACUUAUGAAUUUAUAAUAACUUGAUGGCUCUUAUUUGUUGAAAUUAGUAUAUGAUAGUUGGAGAUUUAAAGUGAUAUCUAGUUAAGGAAUCACUUAUUUAUUUUUCAUUAUUGCGUUAUUACUGAUGUAUUCCAUGCCUAUUUAUAAUUUCUGCACUUUAUUUAUUUACCCUUUGUAAGUAUCAAUGUCGACCCCUUGUCACUACUUGUUCGAGGUUAGACUAGAUACUUACUAGGUACAUGUUGUUUAUAUACUCAUGCUACACGUCUGCACUUAUCGUGUAGGAUCUGAGGCAGGUGUAUCUGGCGGCCAUACAGGCACGUACCUCCGCUACCUGGAGACCUAGUGGUGAGCUGAUAUCUAUGCCCGUUUUGCAGCGCCCAAAGUCUCUUCUUAUUGUAUUUUUUUGUCUAUCUUACUCCAGAGGGUGGUAUAUGAUGUUUUGUAUAUUCUACUAGUUUUCUCAUGCACUUGUGACACCUGGUUUUAGGAGAUUCUAGUAGACAUUUUAUGGUUUUGAUUAUUAAAUUCAGUAUUUCACUCUUUCGUUAUUUUAUGCUUUAAAUUACUACAAUCACCUAUUAAUCAUUCUUUUAUUAUAUAAAACCAAUUACUUUAAAAAUAUUAAAUGAAUAAUUUCAUGGAUAAUUCACUGUUGGCUUGCCUAGCAGCAACAUUGGGCGCCAUCACGGCCUAUAGUGGGAAAUUGAGUCGUGACAGUUUGGUAUCAAAGCCCUAGGUUCACAUAGGUCUCACAAGUUAUGAGCGGGCCUAGUAGAGUCUUUUGGAUCGGUACGGAGACGUUCGUACUUAUCUUCAAAAGACUAUAGGGUAUUAGGAAACUUCUCUUUCAUUAUCUCGUAUCGUGCAAUUGAUGUUGUGCUAAGUAUCUUUCUCUUAUUCUCUCACAGAUGGUGAGAAUGCGCACGGCAGAUGUACCCGACGGUAGAGGAGCUAGCCUCCUAUUGCAAGAGGUCAAGGCAGAGGUCAAGGGAUGACUCCAGCUCCUUCCAGAGGACGAGGGUAUCCUAGAGUUGCUCUUGUUGUGCCACCAGUGGAUCUAGUGGAGGAUCAUGUUAUUGAGGAUCAGAACGAGGUACCUGCAGCUGAGCCGGCCCCAGUGGAUAUCAUGUCUGCGCUAGGAUGCCAGGAGGUCAUGGGCAGUAUGCUGUGGUUCAUGGACUCUAUGACAUAGGCUGGUUUAUUUCCAGCGGACUCAGUCACAUCUCAGGCGGGAGGGGGAGAACAGACCCCUACCACUCAGGAUCCAGGGCAUGCUUCUACCGUAUAUCAGACCCCGGGUGAACUACUUGCAGGUGAGUCUCGACAAGUUACAACAGCUAUAACAGAGCCCAGACCAGCCGCGACCAGCGAGCCGUACAAGCUCUUAGAUAGAUGGACCAGGCUACACCUUCCCGCCUUUGGUGAUGAGCAACAUGAUUAACCUCAAAACAUUAUUGAUCAUUGUAGGGACAGACUGCACAACAUGAGAGUAUUAGAGUCCCAUGGGGUGGACUUUACCACAUUCUGGUGGAGGGCAGGGCCCGUAGAUGGUGGCAGUCCUAUCUUCUCAAUAGACUAGUAGAUUCUCCUCCCUUGACUUGGGACUAGUUCACACAUCUCUUUCUGGAGAGAUAUAUUCUACCAUUUUAGAGGGAAGAGUUACGGGGUCAGUUCGAAGGGCUCCAAUAAGGUUAGAUGUCUGUGAUAGAUUAUGAGGCGAGAUUCUCUGAGUUGUCUCGUCAUGCACUUAUGAUACUCCCCACUGAUGUAGAUAGAGUGUAGAGGUUUAUUGGGGGCUUGCACUAUGGUAUCCAGGUCAUUAUGGCCCGCAAGAUUGAGAUUAGAACUCCUUAUGAGCAGGUUGUGGAGUUAGCUCGGAAGAUCGAGGGUAUUUGAUAGUAGGGCUAAGAGCAAGUGCCGAAGGACAAUCAGUCUCAAUAUUCUAGAGGGUUUAGUGGUGCCCCAUCUGGGGGCAGGGGUUAGUUUGUGAUUGGCCAGUCUAACAGGCCCAUGUAUUCAGCAUCACCGCCUUCUCGAGGUGCUCUAGUGCGGCCCUAUUUCAGUUCCAUUCCAUAGAGCUCCUACCAUCAACUGGCUAAGGGUUCUUGCAGUUGGUAUUCAGGUCCCUAGGGUCAGACUCAGGGUCAGUCAUCUUCGGCACCGAUAGGUUGUUAUGAGUGCGGGGAUCUUGGUCAUGUAAGGAGAUUCUGCCCCAGGCUCCAAGACAAGGUAGUACGACAGGGCCAUCAGCCCAUGAUCACCGCACCAACUGCCGCACCAGUCAUUCGGCCUGCCAGAGGCGGAGGCAGGUGGGUAGGGUUAGCCCUAGAGGUGGAAGCCAGUCAGGUAGCGCUCCAUCUAGGUUUUAUGCCUUUCCAGCCAGACCAGAUGUAGUAGUCUCCGACACCGUGAUCAGAAGUAUUAUUUCUAUCUACGGUAGGGAUGCUUUGGUAUAUUUGAUCCAGGGUCUACGUAUUUAUAUGUUUCAUCUCUAUUUGCUCAUUUUCUAGGUGUUUUUCGUGAGUUCUUGGGUGCUCAUGUAUAUGUGUCCGCGCCAGUGGGAAAUUCUGUUGUUAUGGAUCAGAUUUACUAGUAUUGUAUUGUAACUUUCUGUAGUUAUGAUACUAGAGCGGAUCUUCGAUUGCUUGACAUGACCGACUUCGAGGUCAUCAUGGGCAUGGACUGGACGUCUUCAUACCAUUAAAUUCUUGAUUGCCAUACCAAGACUGUUACCCCGGAGAUGCCAGAGUUUCCUAGGUUGCAGUGGAGGGGUUCAUCUAUUAGUACAUCCAGUCGGGUUAUUUCUUUCUUGAAGGCUCGACAUAUGGUCGAGAAGGGUUGUUUGGCUUAUCUAGAUUAUGUUCGGGAUACUACUGGAGAGACUCCCACGAUUGAUUCAGUGCUCGUGGUGCGGGAGUUCUCCGAUGUGUUUCCUUCUGAUCUACUAGGCAUGCCACCAGAUCGUGAUAUCGAUUUUUAUAUUGAUUUGAUGCCCUGUACCCAGCCUAUCUCUGUUCGACCAUACCACAUGUCUUUGGAAGAGUUGAAGAAGUUGAAAGAACUAGUUGAGCAUUUGCUAGCUAAGGGGUUCGUCAGGCCGAGUGUGUCACCUUGGAGUGCAGCAGUGUUGCUUGUGUAAAAAAGAAUGGGACUAAGCAGAUGUGCAUGGAUUAACGCAAGUUGAACAAGGUUACCAUUAAGAACAAGCACUUGUUGUCGUGCAUUGAUGAUUUGUUUUACCAGUUGUAGGGUGCCAGGGUGUUCUCUAAGAUCAACUUGAGAUCUAGGUAUCAUCAGCUAAUUAUCCGUGCUUCGGAUGUUUCGAAGAUGGCUUUCUGUACUAGAUAUGGCCACUAUGAGUUUCUAGUGAUGUCCUUCGGCUUGACCAACGCCUUAGUGGCGUUUAUGGAUUUGAUGAACCGGGUGUUCAAGCCAUAUAUUGACUCGUUUAUCAUUGUCAUCAUUGAUGACAUAUUGAUCUACUCGUGUAGUAUAGAGGAGCACGAGCAACAUUUGACAGUUGUGCUUCUGACCUUGCGGCAACAGAAGCUAUAUGCUAAAUUCUCCAAGUGCGAGUUCUAGUUAGAUUAUGUGGCAUUCAUGAGGCAUGUUAUAUUAGGCGGGGGUAUUAAGGUAGAUCCCAGGAAUAUCGAGGCUUGUUUAGAGUUGGCCUAGUCCUACCACAGCGAUCGAGAUCAAGAACUUCUUGGGGUUGGUAUGUUAUUAUCGUCGGUUCGUGGAAGGCUUCUCAUCUAUUGCGACACCUUUGACUAGAUUGACCCAUAAGGUGCUGCGUUCCAGUGAUCCGAUGAUUGCGAGGUGAGCUUUUAGAAAUUCAAGGCCGCAUUAACUACAACACUGGUGUUAGUGUUGCCUUCCAGUUCAGGGAUGUAUAUUGUGUAUUGUGACGCUUCGCGCGUUGGCCUAGUUUGUGUAUUGAUGCAGGAGGGGAAAUUUAUUGCAUAUGAUUCAUGUCAGCUGAAGCCCCAAGAGAAGAAUUACCAUGUACACAAUUUGGAGUUGGCCGUGAUAGUUCAUGCAUUCAAGAUCUGGAGGCAUUAUCUUUAUGGGGUGUCUUGUGAAGUUUACACCGAUCAUCGUAGCUUGUAGCAUUUUUUCAAGUAGAGGGAUCUCAAUUUGAGGAAGCGCAUGUGGCUUGAGUUACUAAAGGACUAUGAUAUAACCAUCCUUUAUCAUUCGGACAAGGCGAAUGCGGUUGCGGAUGACUUGAAUAGAAAGGCCGACAGUAUGGGUAGUUUGAUAUUCAUUUCCAUAUAGGAGAAAUCAUUGGCUUGGGUCAUUCAGUCCUUGGCUAACAGACUUGUGAGGUUGGAUAUUUCAGAGCCCAAUCGAGUUCUUGCAUGUGUUGUGGCUCAAUUUUAAUUAUUUGAGUGGAUCAAGGCUUGUUAGUAUGAUGAUCCACACUUGCUAGUUCUUAGGGAGACAGUACUACAAGGUGGUUCCAAAGAGGUUACUAUCAAUGAAGAUGGUGUUCUACGACUCCAGGGUCGCUUAUGUGUUCCUAAUGUUGAUGGAUCGAGGGAGAAGUUUCUAUAGGAAGCACACAGUUCUCGGUAUUCUAUUGAUCCAGGUGCUAUAAAGAUGUAUCACAACCUAAGGCAGCAUUAUUGGUGGCGAUGGAUGAAGAAGGACAUAGUUGAGUAUGUAGCAAGAUGCCUAAAUUGCCAGCAGGUUAAGUAUGAGCACCAAAGUCCAGAUAGCCUACUUCAGUAGAUGGUUAUAUUGGAGUGAAAAUGGUAGUGUAUCACUAUGGAUUUUGUAGUUGGGUUAUCAAAGGCGUUGAGGAAGAUUGAUGCCGUUUGGGUCAUUGUCGACAUGCUAACCAAGUCAUCACACUUUAUUCCAGUGAUGACUACAUAAUCGUCAGAGAGGUUGGCCCAGAUUCACAUUUAGGAGAUUGUCUGGUUUCAUGGUGUGCCUAUUUCCACCAUUUCAGAUAGAGGCCCUUAGUUUAGUUCGCAUUUUAGGAGAGUGGUAUAGAGCGAGUUGGGUACCCAGGUAGAGCUCAACACAGCUUUUCUUCCGCGGACUGAUGGGCAGCUGGAAUAGAUUGUUCAUAUCCUAGAGGAUAUACUCAAAGCCUGUGUGAUUGACUUUAGAGGGCAAUGGGAUCGAUUCUUGCCUUUGGUUGAGUUUAUUUAUAACAACAAUUAUCAGUCCAACAUCGAGAUGGCCCCAUUUAAGACUUUAUAUGGUCGGCGAUGACGUUCGCCUAUCAGAUGGUUUGAGCCCGGCGAGGCAAGGUUAUAUGGAACUGAUUUAGUGAAGGAUGCCUUGUAGAAGGUAAAGUUGAUUCAGGAGCAACUUCGCAUAGCACAAUCUAGAUAGAAGAGUUACGCGGAUCAGAAGGCGCAUGAUUUAUCAUUCAUGGUGGGCGAGAGGGUUCUAUUGAAAGUCUCGCCAAUGACGGGAAUCAUGAGGUUCGGGAAGAAGUGUAAGCUGAGCCCAAGGUUUAUUGGCCCAUUUGAGGUGUUGAGGCGAGUUAGGGAGGUUGUUUAUGAGCUUGCUUUUCCUCCCAGUCUAUCAGGAGUUCAUCCAGUUUUCCACGUGUCUAUGCUUCAGAAAAUCACGCCGACAGGUCGCAUGUGUUAGACUAUAGCAUGUUUAUGCUAGAUAAGAGCUUGGGUUAUGAAGAUGAGCCAAUUGCCAUUGUUUAUAGGUAGGUUCGCUAGUUAAGGUCUAAGAAGAUUUUUGCGAUAAAGGUCUAGUGAAGGGGUCAACCAGUCAAGGAGGCAACUUGGGAGACCGAGGAGGACAUGUGGAGCAGAUAUCCACACCUAUUCAGCACUACAGGUAUGAUUGUAGACCUAUUCGAGAAUGAACAUUUGUUUAAUAGGUGGAGAAUAUAAUGACCUGACUGGUUUCUGGAUCAUCAUUCCCCUAAUUAAGACUCUCCGUAUGCGCCUUUAUUGUUUUAUGACUUGCAGGUAUGGUUUAGUUGGGUUUGGAAUGUUUUAGGUUGAAAUCAGAACACUUGGUUCCUUAAUAGUGGCCGAAGAUGGCUAAGUUUGACUUGAGUUAGUCUUUAGUAAACGACCUCGUAACUAGGAUUUGACGGUUUCAAUAGGUUUGUAUGAUGCUUUUGGACUUGGCCGUGUGUUCGGAUCUGAUUUCGGAUAAUCCGGGAGUGUUUCGACACAUAAUGUUGAAAGUUGGUACAUUGAAGGUUUUCCAGUUCCUUAAAUUUGGUUCGGAGUAGACUUUGGCAUUAUCAAGGCUCGUUUGGAAUUCCAAACCAGGUAGUACUCAUGCAUGGUGAUUUAUUACUUGUACACAAAAUUUGGUUUAUUUCCGAGUAAUCUAAGUAUGAUUUGGCACGUUCGAAGUAAGUUGAAAAGCUUGAAGUUCAUAAUUUGAUUCAACUUGGUUUACGGGUGCGAUUCUUAGUUUUGAUUUUUUUAUGCAUUCUGAUGGCUCAAGUAGGUAUGUAUUAUGUUAAUGGACUUGUUGUACAAUUGGGCAGCAUCUCGGGUGGCUCGAGUGAGUUUCGGACAACCCAGAGCUAAGUUUAAAAAUCUGCCACUACUGGUUUUGGUUUCCUUCUUCGCCAUAACGGAGGUUGUGUCGCAUUUGCAAAGAAGGAAUUUGGGGAACUGGAAAAAUUUUCUUCGCGUUCUGAUACCCAAUCCGCAGGUCUGGAACCUACAGCCUUUGCGUGCGAUAAAGGGCCUGUGUUCGCAUAGGGAAAAGUGGCUUGGGAGGGGGGCAACUUUGUUACUCUUUGCGUUCACGAAGGGCACCCUGCGUUCAAGAUGAAUGAUCUUAGGACUUGGCAAGGUUUUCCUUCGCGAUUGCGAGGCUUCAUCCACGAUCGCGAAGAAGGGUCAACUGGGCAGAGACUUGUUUUUGUUUGACCAAAAAGUGCAACUCAUUGGCUCAGCUAAUUAAAUUUUUGUAUUAAGGGGUUAAACCUAGUUAACAAUAAUAUUUCUAGAUGUGAUUUAUGAAUGUGUAACUAACAUGGGACAUAUCUGUAAGAAACACAAUAAUGGUGUGCAACAAUCAUUCCAAGUAAAAUGAGUAAUAAUGGAGCAUUAAAUAACAAUGAGCAACAUUAAAUGGCAUUCAAGUAAAAUAAAGGAAUGAUUCACCCAAUAAAGGAGGAAAUAUAUGUUAUUCCUCCUAACAAUGAUGAAUGACAAAUAGAUCCUUGAAGAUUCGAAUUAUCCUCGGAUCUGGUAGAAUGUAUGGAAUGAUGUGGACAAGAAUCUUGGUAAAAAAGGGGUUGUUUGUAUCUUAGUUAUAGAGAGAAUUUUUUAAUCAAAAUAUGUUCUUGCAAAUGAAUAUCCCUCCUACAUCAUUGUCUCUCUCCCUCUUUAUAUGAGACAUAUUCCUAACAAAUCCUAAUAGUACAAGUGUAGAAAAUAUCCACUAGAAUAUUCUCUUUAAAACUUUAUUUUGAAAACUAGUUGUUACAGCUCUGUCAACGGUUCUCGACCGUUGUUGACGCCUCGACCAUGAAUCUCGCUGCUUCUUGGUCAACCUCAACUGAUGAUGGCUUGAAGAAUCUUCCUUUAGCAUUAUUGUCUUAAAUACUUUAGGUUAGAUUUUGACCUAUACAGUUAGUCCCUCCGCUUGUUGAGGCUGGCCUCAGACGGCCUUGAUGAGCGGACUCUGUUUGUCGUGGUCGAGAAGAGUGAACGGGUGCGUCAGGUUGCGAUGUUUGAGAUGAGCUGGCAACGUGGCCUUUCGUGAGCUGCAACUUUUGGAGUCACUUCGUUUCUGGAUCAAAGUGACGUCAUGACGUCAUGCAUCAUUAUGGUGUGUUUUCCCGAUGUUUUGCAUCGUUUCACGGGUGUUUGUUGAUUGGAUUUGUCGCUUCGAUACUGGUGCUAGGUAAUGAUGGCAUAAUUUCUUGGUUUCGAUGCUUGAAUUCUAAUAAAUAAGGAUAUGAUGUCACACACUCGUGUUUCACAGAUUUCCCAUAUCAAAACCUUAUGCCCUCUUUUUCUUGUUCUAUUGUUAUCCUCUUCUCCUGCUCUACCAAUCUUCGUUUCUCUCAACUUUCCAUUACUUAAAUACCCUCUCUUUCUUCAGAACUAUGGUUAACAUAUCUUCUGGUCCCAGCAAGGAAAACAACCCGGUCCCCUUAGCGAUGGUUUUGCCUCCCCUUGCGGAGGGCAUCUCUAUUGCUGUUGAGGAUGAAGACUUCCCUAUGGUGGAGGAGAUAGUUCCUCGUGGUGGGAAAAUUAGGUUUGAUUUUACGAAGAUGCCUGAUGUUGAGCCCGAGGUCUUUGAGUCAGCGAUGAAUGAGGCUGAUUUAUUAGACCUUAGGGUCAAAUUCCCGCUCGCAUCGAGUUAGUCCAUGUAGAGUGGGAUACGGUACAGGUCCACCGCCUUGGGUAUUGUGCGUUCUACGCCUACCCCUUCCAUGGCGGCUACACACUUCCCCUUCUCCUAUUGGAAGAGGAGUUUUGCUGUUUCUAUGGCAUUUUCCUAGCUCAGCUAUCACACCCCAACCUAGGUGAGGCGUGGCUGGAACUUUGUGCCGUAAGCAAACCACUUUGCAACUCUUGAAUGAUGGACGUAACCCAGAACAUACAUAGGACAACAUGACUGCAACUCGUAAUAUAUUGUAGGCGGCCAAGCAUUAUAUCGGCUAGCCAUCAUACUCAAAAUAUUAAUACAUGUUCGGGCCGAGAAGGGCACUAUAAGUAUCAAUACUGGACAACCCAGAAAUAAAAUAUAAUUAAUGGCCUAUGAGGCCACAAAUAUACUAUACCUACUGAUCCUAUAUCUAGAAACCCUCUAAGAAUAUCUGACAUCAAAAUAUCAUCAGGAUAGGGGCCCGGCCUACCUGUAAGUCUAUAACAAAAUCCAAUAUCAUGACCUCUAGACUUGGCUAUACUCCGGAAGAGAUGGAGUCUUACCUAUUUCCCGCUGAAUAUCAAUCCUGUCUACUUUGAGGGCUCGUAAAACUGAUUACUUGCACCUGUAAGCAUGAAGUGCAGCGCCCAGCAAUGGGAGAUUAGUAUAAUGAGAUUUACCAAGUAUGUAAGGCAGAAAGAAAUACAUAUAAAUAAAUUAUGAAAACUGAAAAGCAUGAAUGAAUACAACAAUAGUUUGCUAAAUGAUAAGAAUAAGAGUGAGCUUACCAUGUACUGUAGAUCGACUUACUAGAUCGCUAUCACUUGGACCACUUGGUUCUUCAAUCUGAUUGAGAAAACUCAACCUAUCAUAAGAUUCUGAACUAUUUUUAUCAACUAUGGCUAAGUGAUCUCUUGUUGCAUCGUUGUUGUUACUUAUUAUAAGAAUACAAUGUGGCUCUUAUGCCUAACAAGGUAGACCAUCCAUAAGGUACACUACAACACUACUAUCUGGUGGCACGUAUGCGUAGCAAAGCAGACCGUCUGUAUGACUCAAAAUAUUUGGGUCGGACUAUGCGUACACAUGGGACCGUCCAUAGCCAACCUUUAUCUUACCUAUGCGUUUCAUAGACCGUCCAUAUGUUAACCUUUAUUAUCCCCCUAUGCGUUCAUAGACCAUCCAUAGGGAACAUACUUAUGCAUAAAUAACAUUACAACAACAUGCAACUAUCAAUAUCUUACAAGCUAGGUACUCGUGUCUAUAACAUAAAAUACUUUUGGUAACUCUCAGUUCGUAUUCGGAAACUUUUAAUACCUACUCAUUAGCUUUGAGGAAACCCAUAACUACUCUUAGAUUUACACAUCCAUCAUGACAUACUAUUAUAAGGCUUUCGAGAUUCGUAUAAUCUUGCCUUUACAAAUUCAUUUGGUACAUCGUAGGGCUUGUAUUUCAUAUUGUUUCAAACGACUCAUCACAUUCGUCAACUCAAUCUCUACUUCCUUUAAUGUAUAGAAUAUAAUUACUAUUUCCACAUGCGUAUGAUUAUUCUAGUUAGUAGUACAAUGCGUUUCAUAACUUAUGUGACCUUACGUUCUUCUACAUACGAUCUAUUCUUCAUUCGUUAGUUUUCUCAUUUACAUCCUUUAAAUUUAGGGGGGGGGGUUUGUUAAGAAACUUAUCACAUCUCUUAAUUUACAUCUCCCACUCUCUCUUAUUAGCAUUAGGGAUCUUCUGAUAGCUACCUUCACUAACCAACAAAAACUACUUCGGCCAUUUGAUAAGAUAAUAGGCUCUAUUCAUAUUUUCUACUCGUGAGCCAAUUAUAAUUUACCAUUAAAUGAAGGCUAUACUUCUCGCUGUAGACUCAACAUAAGUUCCUUGAGGUCUCUGCUUAUUUCUAGGAAUAAUCCAUGGAUUAUAACUACGAGUAACUCAUUUCUUAUCUAUAUUCACUUUUGAACUAUUAAAGGCUCUUAACCUGUCAACAUAGACAUACGCUAGGACUCGUCCCCUUGAACCUCCUAAAAGGGUGACAUCACUACAGAAGAAUAAAGGGAAAGCCUUACAUACCUUUAAGUCUAUCCUUCGACUAAGAUGGUGGGAAGGUCUCCUCUUCAACAUAAUCUACACCAAUGAAAUAACACUACUAUCAACAAUAGUAACACAUCAACUAGCUACCAUGCGACAAGCUUAUUCUAUGGCAAAUCAGAUAGCAUCUCCCCCGUUUCUUUCACCUCCCUCAAGGUCACAACAAUAAAAAUAACAAGUAACCCUUAAUCCAUAUAUCCAGCAGCUUGACAAUACAAGAACUGCCCAACAAUACAAUAUAACAACAACAAUAGGGCCAACGUUAAGCUUAGGAAUAGCUAGCUUACGAUACAUCGAGCGACAAGCUCGGUUCUCAAAAUGGCAACUAAACACUAAUCUACACUUCUUCUUCUCAUAAAGUUACAUAUUAAAAACACACACACACACACAAAUACACACACACAGAUAUAUAUAUAUAUAUAUAUAUAUAUAUAUAUAUAUAUAUAUAUAUACACACACANNNNNNNNNNNNNNNNNNNNNNNNNNNNNNNNNNNNNNNNNNNNNNNNNNNNNNNNNNNNNNNNNNNNNNNNNNNNNNNNNNNNNNNNNNNNNNNNNNNNNNNNNNNNNNNNNNNNNNNNNNNNNNNNNNNNNNNNNNNNNNNNNNNNNNNNNNNNNNNNNNNNNNNNNNNNNNNNNNNNNNNNNNNNNNNNNNNNNNNNNNNNNNNNNNNNNNNNNNNNNNNNNNNNNNNNNNNNNNNNNNNNNNNNNNNNNNNNNNNNNNNNNNNNNNNNNNNNNNNNNNNNNNNNNNNNNNNNNNNNNNNNNNNNNNNNNNNNNNNNNNNNNNNNNNNNNNNNNNNNNNNNNNNNNNNNNNNNNNNNNNNNNNNNNNNNNNNNNNNNNNNNNNNNNNNNNNNNNNNNNNNNNNNNNNNNNNNNNNNNNNNNNNNNNNNNNNNNNNNNNNNNNNNNNNNNNNNNNNNNNNNNNNNNNNNNNNNNNNNNNNNNNNNNNNNNNNNNNNNNNNNNNNNNNNNNNNNNNNNNNNNNNNNNNNNNNNNNNNNNNNNNNNNNNNNNNNNNNNNNNNNNNNNNNNNNNNNNNNNNNNNNNNNNNNNNNNNNNNNNNNNNNNNNNNNNNNNNNNNNNNNNNNNNNNNNNNNNNNNNNNNNNNNNNNNNNNNNNNNNNNNNNNNNNNNNNNNNNNNNNNNNNNNNNNNNNNNNNNNNNNNNNNNNNNNNNNNNNNNNNNNNNNNNNNNNNNNNNNNNNNNNNNNNNNNNNNNNNNNNNNNNNNNNNNNNNNNNNNNNNNNNNNNNNNNNNNNNNNNNNNNNNNNNNNNNNNNNNNNNNNNNNNNNNNNNNNNNNNNNNNNNNNNNNNNNNNNNNNNNNNNNNNNNNNNNNNNNNNNNNNNNNNNNNNNNNNNNNNNNNNNNUAUAUAUACACACACACACAAACGUACGUUUGACCAUCAAUUCAUAACUUCUAGCUUCAAACAACAUACCUAAGGUUUAGAUAUGAUCAAACAUAUGUAGAAGAGAAGAGAUUACCUUUAAACAGCAAGAAAAACUCCAAGAACAACCCUCCUUAAACUUGAAAGAACUCACAACACAUCAACAAUAUCAUAUAAGUGAUCUCCACCACUUCUACAACACUUUUGAUGAAGAACUUUGGUGGUUUGGCAUUGGAUUUGUGUAUGAAUCUUUAGGAUAUGCUUAGAGAGAGUUUAGAGCUUCUUGGAGGUAUAAUUUUGUCGAAAAUGAUAUUUAGAGACCAAAGUUAUCACUUUAUAUAACAGGGUAAGCUUCCAUCGACUUUGUGGGUCCCAAGGAAGCUGUUUGUGCAGUCUUGUAAAAAUGCGAAUAUCUCUCUAUCCGACAUUGUAUCGAUGAACGGUUUAAUGCAUUAGAAAGUAGACUCUUAGAUCUUCAAAUUCACGGGUGUAUCUCCCCAUAAACCAAAGUAUAUUUAUAGAAAAGCUCAGUGACAUUAGACCAAAAUUUAGGUCAAAUUAUAAUUGUAACUUGCGACAACUUUUGCCCAUGUUUUGUUUUACGACUUGUUUGACUUAAAAACUAAACAUACAAAUAUUAUAUGAUUCAAUCACCUUAAAAUAUGAACUCCUUAGGAUUUUAAGCACUCCUAUUUUACCCCAAAAUUAAGGGUUAUAACAUCUUCGAUUCAUUUAACCUCCAACUCUCACAAUUAUUCCUUUACACUUACUUUAACCCAUCAUUAUCUUUGUAAAUGUACUUAAGCUUUCUAGAUUAUAUUGAUUCACUUAAGAUGCAUUGAAUCAUGAAAGUAUGGGGUGUUACAUCAGCUCUCACCGAACAUCUACAAGCUCAUUAAGAUGCUUACUAAGUAUGUUGAAUUGGCCGGGGUCGGGAUCACACUUCGGCAUUUGAUGCAUCACUUUGCCCCUAGUUUCUAUAGGGGGACAAUGUUAAACCUUCGCCAUCGGGGGGGGGGGGGGCAAGUUCCUGGUGAUGAAGAUGGACGACAAGGCGAACCAUCAGUUCUGGCACAAUUUUUUCUUUGUCAGAGUCGAAGAUGUGGUGACCAACACAGACGACUUCCCUAAAACAUGGAAUUACACUCGUAAGUGUCUAACUUCUCUUAGUUAAGGCACUUGAUUUAAUUGCUUAGUAGUGGGUUCUAAUCUCUUUCUCCUUUCUUAUGCAACAAAAACUAUGCCUCCUCCUUUGGUCGAUGACAUUUCUGAUUGGGUCGGGCGGCUCCUCCCAUACAUUAUGGGAAUUCGUGAAUGGCUGAGCAUUUUUAAGAAGUUUGGGCCUGAUCCCUCCCUAACUGGUGAGUUUCUUCAUUUUGGCCUCUUAGUCGCUUAUCUCUUAUAGUUUGCUAUGCUGAUCUUCUUUUCUUUUGCGCUUCUUUCAUUUCCAGCCCGAGGGCCUUCGAGGAGGUCGAAAGCUCCCCCACCUGCAUUCUAUAAGAGGAAAGUUGCUUCCUCUUCGACCUCUGCCCCCUCUAAGACUGCGGCUAGGUUUGCUCGCUCUUCGAUUCUACCUACAGCUCCUUCGGUCUCAAUUUCGUCAUCUACGAAUAUUCCGACAGCGGAGCCUCUAGCUUCCCCUUUGUACCAUCUUGUGGACGAGGAGUUGAAUCAUUGCCAAAUGAAGGGUACUUGGUGUCCCGUUAGAAGAGGUCAGUGGAUGUUGGCGAUGGGGUUGUUCGGGCCGUAGAUUCUAUAAUGGAUGAUUUCACCCUCCAUGAAACAACGACCAUAUUUCUUAAAGACAACGUCGAGCUAGAUUCUGAGGUUCCGAGAUCAGUCAAAGUUUUUGAGGGUUUAUCCCUUCCUUCUACGACAAUGGAAGUCAAAGGACUAACCGCUAGGGUUUCUGAUACUUUGUGGCAAGAGGGGCUGUUGACUUUGCAACCAGUCGACGAUAUUUCUUUGCCGUCUGAUGGGAGAAAUAAAGGUGUUUCCAAAUAUGAUUAUGUGAUGGGUUCAGACAUCGAUGCCGUUGAACUAAGGAUGAUGAAGGAGGGGUUUACCUAACUCUAGGUGAGGUUGGAUGGGUCAGCGAGGACUAUUACAAUCCCAAUGAAUCAUGAUAUUUUGAAGAAUACGGAGAAUGUAUUCCCCCAUAUCGGCCCUCUUUGCUCUGACAUAGAAGGUGAAACCCUCAAAGAGCUUGGCACGUUGCUCUAUCGAGGAGCAUAGCCGGCCUUACCCUCAGGGUGAGUAUUUUGGGGAUUCAUUUUCCGACUAGCAUUUUGUUGUGUUUUAUCUUUGUUAGUUGGCGUCCUUAUUUUUUGUUUCUUUUUCUUAUGUUUUUAGACCAUGAUUUUGGAUAUUGAAAGCUCUCGAAGGGAGGAGGGGCAUAAUAAAAUUUUUGAGAAGUUGGAGCGCAAGUAUCUUGAGUAUCACGAUAAGCAUCGGGGAGAUUCUCCGGCGUUUUGGCGAGGGCAGCAACUUGCAGGCCCUUCAUGAUUAGUUGAAGAAGAAGGACGACGAGCUGGUGAGGGUCAUCGUGAAAUGCAAUAUCCUUGAAGGGACAUUGAGAGGCAACGAAGAAGAGCUCAAAGUCAGCAAAGGGGUUGAAGCCAAGUGCAUCAAUCUCCAAAUCCAGGUGGUCUCACUGUUUGCCCAGCCUGAGGAGUGUCAAUUUAGAACAGAUGCUCUCUGUGUCAAGGUCACCGAGAAGGCAAAGGAUCUCGAGAAGGCGGAGUUUGUUCGAUCAGAGGCUCUAAGGAAGGUAGAGGCUUUGGAGGUCGUGAUCCAUAUUCUUUGUUCUGAGCAAGAAAAUGACUUGGAGACGGCUAGGCUUAAAGAAGAGAGGCUUGUUGAGAGGAUUGGAGAGCUGGAGAAAGAGGUUUCUGGCCUUUACGACCAAGUUACCGGUUUUGAAUCCGAGAAGGCCUGAUUGCUGGCUCAGCCAUCUUCUUCCCGUACUUAAGAUUUUCCUAAUAUUCCUUACAACCAAGUUAUCGUUUUUGAGUCCGAGAAGGCCUGAUUGCUGGCUCAGCCAUCUUCUUCCCAUACUUCAAAUUUUCCUAAUAUUCCUCGAGAGUUGUACGAGGAGUGGAUUCACGCCGAGGACUAGUUGGAUGUAUUUUGAGAAUUAAUGAUGGUGAGAACCAUUUCAGAGGACGUCUUCGAAACUACUCGUGUUAAGGCUCGUGAAGCUCGAGCCGCUUGCGAAUAUGACCCCGCUACACCGGAGGGCGGCGAUGAUGAAGAGGACAAAGGUGUGGAUCGGCUUGAGUAGGAAGCUUGGUAUGACGUUGUGUAUCCUGAUGGUGAAGACAACGAUGAUGAAGGUGUUGAAGGUCGAGGGGGCGACGCUUUCGAGGCCUAAGGUGGCCAGUAGUUUUCUUUUUUCGACCUUUUUGUAUAUUUUUGUGUGUAGUUGUUGGCGUUUUCAUGAGCCUUUGUAAAAACAAUAUUCUAAGUAUGAAAUGCCAACUUCGUUAUUUGCCUUUGAUACUCUUCCUAUGGUUCGUGUUUGUAUGUUUUUUAAUUCUGCCGCUUGGUUGCCUUGAUUUUCUAGCCGUGAUCACUUAAUGGUGAGUGGCGACCAGAAUUUGGUGGGCCGGUAGGUGUCGGUUCACUUACUGGGUGUUAGUUCGACCAAGGUCAAACAUAACCUAAGUUUAAUUAUGGCUGAGGUCCAGUAGGUGUUGGUUCGAACUUGGUCGAACAUAACCAAACCUUAAUUAUGGCCGAGGGAUAGUAGGUGUUGGUUUGAACAAGGUCAAACAUAAUCUAAGUUUAAUUACGGUCGAGGGCCAAUAGGUGUUAAUUUGGACAAGGUCGAACAUUACUUAUGUUUAAUUAUGGCUGAGGGACAAUUAGGUGUUAGUUCGAACGAGGUCGAAUAGAACCUAUGUUUAAUUAUGGCCGAGGGCCAAUAGGUGUUAAUUCGAACGAGGUCGAACAUAGCCUAUGUUUAAUUAUGUCUGAGGUCCAGUUAGGUGUUAGUUCGAAUGAUGUCGAACAUAAAUAUCACACCUCAUUUUUCUACACCUGGAAGGGGUAUAAGGGAGUUUUUUCCAAUUAAAGUGACAAUCGAAACGAGAUUAAUUAUUAGAUUUAGAGUCGCCACUUUGGAUGAUUUAUGGUGUCCCAAGUCACCGAUUAAAUCCCGAAUCGAGGAAAGAUUUACUCUGUUUUACAGUCUGCGAAAUACAGAAAUUCGGAUAAGGAAUUCUGUUAACCCAGGAGAAGGUGUUAGGUAUUCUCGGGUUCUGUGGUUUUAGCACGGUCGCUCAAUUAUUAUUAUUUGUCCUAAUUAUCUGAUUUAUUAGACAAUUUAAACCUAUCUGCAUUUUUAACUUUCAAACCGCUUUUUAGGAUUUAUGAAAUUAUUUCUUGAACAAGUUACAAUUGUCGUACACUUGUUUGUUUGGUACACAUUGCGAAUAGUAUCACGGGAACCGUACCCAUGAUCUAAAACAUGUUUAAUUUAUUAAUAGGAUUAAAUUGUGGCCGGGUCGCAUAAAUGUACCCCCGGAUUUUAGAAAUUAAUUGUCACAACCACGUCAUGGGAACCGUACCCGUAGCUACGAUAAUUUAUUUAAUUAACGCGCCUAAAGCAAACUACGAGAUUUCAAGGCAUUUUCUACACUAAUUAAGAUAUCGAUAUGAGGGCCAUAGACUAGGUGAUUAUAUGGAACACCUCAAUUUUAUUAAAGGAAAUGCAUUCAACUAAGUGAACUACAAAUAUUCAUAUUUAGAGCUAAUUUGAAAUUAAGUAUCACAACUAUGUUAGGGGAACCAUACCCGUAGUUGUGAUGAUUUAAUUAUAUGCCUAAAGCAAAUUACGAAUGUUCAUAUAUUGUUCAUAUCCUAUAUUCGAGAUUAUUUCAAGGCCAUGAAUUAUGGAGCACUCAGAAACUUUGAAUAAGGUGACGGAUUGUGUAAUCAGCCCACAAAACUUGCACCAUUUUUAAGAAAAACAAGAAUCAAAGAGGGAGCCAAAAGCACACAGUAUACAAGAUUGAUGAACUUUUCAAAUUCGGAUGAAUUAAUAAAUUUUCACUAGCUCAAUCCAAUUUAUCAACAUUUAAUAGAACCCAAUAUCAUCUUGAAAAUUUCCCUGAGAAAAGCAUUUAAAGAGGACAAGAAAACCAGCAUGAUUUACGUCAAGCUAGGAUAAACCUAAGUAUGGAUUAAGAACAUUGUUUGAGAAUUGAAUAUUUCAUGCCAUAAGCCAUAUCAGUGAUAAUUAAUCCUCAAAUAAACUCACAAACUCAUUUAAAAAUCCCAAGAGACUUGCUAUGCAUUCAGUUCCACCAAAAUCUGCUGCAACCUAACAAAAUUGCUCAUAACACAUCAUCAAAAUCUCACCAAUCCCAUAUUGAGUUAUUACAAUUAAGGUAGGAAACCGAGGAAAUCCAAAAGAGAAGCUCGAAAGUCAUUCUGACAUAUUUAAUCUCAAACAUUGCAAAAUGAACGACGGUAACCAAAUUCAUCCAUAUAACAAACUGCCUUAGUUUCUUAGAUUUAGGUUAAUAAUAGAAGAUUAAUUAAAUGUCAACCUCAAAUCAUUAAUAAUAAAAAAGAUACUACUUACCACACCAAUCAAAUAUUCAAACUAAUGCAUAUUAAACAACUCAAAUAACCAACAAAUCAGAAUAUAACCCAAACCGUCAUCAUGUUGAACUGCUAUGAACUGACAUUUAGACCCAAACAAACUAGAUGCAAAAAUUUAUCCCUCUCUAGAUGGAUCUUCCAAGGCUACCAUUAAUGUUAAGAAAAUUAAGAUAGAAUAGUAGGAAACAGACCUGUUGAGAAAAAUCUUUUAAUAAUAAGAGAAGCAAUCAUCAAAUACAAGCUUGGCUCCAAAUCCAAACGAGAAAACCAAAGCAGAAUGGGACAGAAUCAUCGAAAACGAAUCAAAAUCGCGAACGACAACCAAAAAUACUCCCAUAGAAUUCAAUCAAACUCCACAUCGAGUUCAAAUUAGCUCUGAGAGAAGAAUUCAGAAAUCAGGAACUGAAGUGCAUUUUUCAGAUUUGAGCAAAAAGAAAAACUCUGUGAUUUUUUUUGUUUCUGUUUUUAUAUGAACGAAAUCAGAAGAAAAAAAGUUGUAAAAUCAAAAACUAAAGCCCUCAUUCUCUUUCUCUACAAAAAAAGAACUUCUGACCUAAAAAUCUCCUCCUAAAUUUGUUCUCCCCUUUUUUUUAUCCAAAAAUUCUUCCUUAUAUCCCUUACCUUCCAGAUUCUUUCUUUUUCUUCAAGAAAUCAGAUAAGGCCUAUUUGAAAACGAGCACAUGAUGAAUGUGAGGCUCAGAUUGAAUGAAAUCGAUCCUACGCCUCUCAUUCAUCCAACACACGUCCUCCAGAACCUUCUAAUCGCGUGAUAUAGCUUGAAAACGGGCGAGUGCGGGAGGGAAUCUUCUUGGUGUCAGAAACCGUUACACUAUGUGGAAAGAGGAGAGAAGGGGGGAGCGCGCGAGGUGAGUUUUAGAUGAACUCGCCUGAGUUUCAGCUGAGUUGGGAUCAGUUUGAGCAAGGCGGAUAAAGGAACAUGAUUGGGGCACCGUUUGGGGUCUCUAGGUUUAGGGUUUUGUUUUGGGGGAGGUGUUAUAACAAGGGUUAUAUAUGAG